GCUUGUUGGAGGCAUCCCUGUAAGGGUGAAGCAUCACAGCAUCGGUCACCGUCACCACCUACACGAAGAGCAGUGUUCUCCUCUCAGCCAGCCUACACAGGUGCUACUGGAACCACUCCUUUCAAGUUCUUUUCAUCCAGCUCACUCCCUGCUCAAGAGUAUGUGCCUGCCAUGACUCUCCCUCCUGGAGCCGGCCCGGACUGGCCAUCGACUCACCAGACCCCUCCCAGCUCUGCAGCAGGAACCCUCUGCUCCAGGUAGCCACAAACGGGCCUCCUUUCAUUUACCAUUUCUUUAACCUUCAACAAGUCCCUCCCUCCUCCUGGCUAUUCAUCAAGCUUGGCAUCCUCUCAACGCUCUUUGCUGAAAACGCACCUUCUGCAUGCAGGUAGACACCUCACCCCCACCCCCCGCUCAUGUCAAUGUCAUCCCUUUUCCAUUAUUCACACCUCUCCUUGUUAGCCAGGAGUUCACGGUGUUUGAAGAUACGACUUUUUAAAAAAUCUGUGGGUUCUGUAUAUCUCUAUACCCUCAACUAGACUGUAAAGAGCUGCUGUGCAGAGUCCAGCCCUGGGACUGGGAGAGCAUCUCAGCUGGGAGGAGGGUGGUGGGGUGAAGAAAGCUUCUAAUGGACACAGGACAGUGCUGACCACCCAUGGAAGCCUCAAACCCCAUUUCCCUACAAGUAACUCUUCUAUUUGACUAUCAGCACCACAGGAUCCUUAACCCUGGACUGAGCAGGUUGUGUAGGGCCAGAGCCUCACCUUAUUUAGAUUCAAGUGCUUUCUGACAGAUGUGUACUGAGUAUCUAUUGUGGCAGAAUCCAGUGUAGGGACCCCAAGGGGAGGGGAAUCGGAGAGAGCUUUACAGAGGAGGAGAUGCCUGUUCUGGGGAGAAAGAAAUUCACCAGCUAGAUGGAAUGGGUGGGCAGGGGAGGAGAGAAAACAGCUAGUACUGACUUCCUUGUCUGUAACAGGCAGAUACACCAACUCUUCAGCUUUAGAGAAAAUGUAUUAAGUCAUAUUAACAGUGCUGGCCACAUUCAGUAGGGGCAGGGGAGAUAAGUACGUGAUAGCUAUUACUACUAUUAAAUAAUUUAAUUUUAAACAGCUUGGCUGCAAAGAGAGAAAAGGUGACAGCUAGAGGGGGAUGAGGGGCUGCAUUUUUUAAGAUGCGAAAGCCUCGAAUGUGAAAGGUUACCAAUAAAAGCAGAGAGGCUGAAGUUACAGGAAAGGAUCAACUGAUGGAACACAAGCCCCCAGGAGGAGAAGACCCCGAGUUCCUGGGCUGGGCGUGGCCUGGCAGCAGCUCACCUGGUAUCUGAUGCGACUGUGGCCAAAUGCCAGAGGCCGGCCCUCCUACUUCUUGAUCACUCUUCCAUCAUCAACUUUAGGCCACUUCACUGGCACCUGCAGUCAGGCUUCCAAGACAGCCCAGGAUGAGUGUAAGAAGAGCU